UGCAGUCGUACGCUUCUUUUUCCACCGGAGCUUGCUCCACCGGAAAAAGAAGAGUGGCGAACGGGUGAGUAACACGUGGGUAACCUGCCCAUCAGAAGGGGAUAACACUUGGAAACAGGUGCUAAUACCGUAUAACAAUCGAAACCGCAUGGUUUUGAUUUGAAAGGCGCUUUCGGGUGUCGCUGAUGGAUGGACCCGCGGUGCAUUAGCUAGUUGGUGAGGUAACGGCUCACCAAGGCCACGAUGCAUAGCCGACCUGAGAGGGUGAUCGGCCACAUUGGGACUGAGACACGGCCCAAACUCCUACGGGAGGCAGCAGUAGGGAAUCUUCGGCAAUGGACGAAAGUCUGACCGAGCAACGCCGCGUGAGUGAAGAAGGUUUUCGGAUCGUAAAACUCUGUUGUUAGAGAAGAACAAGGAUGAGAGUAACUGUUCAUCCCUUGACGGUAUCUAACCAGAAAGCCACGGCUAACUACGUGCCAGCAGCCGCGGUAAUACGUAGGUGGCAAGCGUUGUCCGGAUUUAUUGGGCGUAAAGCGAGCGCAGGCGGUUUCUUAAGUCUGAUGUGAAAGCCCCCGGCUCAACCGGGGAGGGUCAUUGGAAACUGGGAGACUUGAGUGCAGAAGAGGAGAGUGGAAUUCCAUGUGUAGCGGUGAAAUGCGUAGAUAUAUGGAGGAACACCAGUGGCGAAGGCGGCUCUCUGGUCUGUAACUGACGCUGAGGCUCGAAAGCGUGGGGAGCAAACAGGAUUAGAUACCCUGGUAGUCCACGCCGUAAACGAUGAGUGCUAAGUGUUGGAGGGUUUCCGCCCUUCAGUGCUGCAGCUAACGCAUUAAGCACUCCGCCUGGGGAGUACGACCGCAAGGUUGAAACUCAAAGGAAUUGACGGGGGCCCGCACAAGCGGUGGAGCAUGUGGUUUAAUUCGAAGCAACGCGAAGAACCUUACCAGGUCUUGACAUCCUUUGACCACUCUAGAGAUAGAGCUUCCCCUUCGGGGGCAAAGUGACAGGUGGUGCAUGGUUGUCGUCAGCUCGUGUCGUGAGAUGUUGGGUUAAGUCCCGCAACGAGCGCAACCCUUAUUGUUAGUUGCCAUCAUUCAGUUGGGCACUCUAGCAAGACUGCCGGUGACAAACCGGA
rnacentral:rRNA from 1 species